rnacentral:lncRNA from 1 species
CUCCCUUCUCAUGGCGGAUGCCUACCAGGGCGAUUGAGGUCAGAUGGUGCGGCCGGCUGGUCGCGAACUGUGUUUCGAACUUUGCGACGAGCGUGGCAAAGCUAUCUAUGGAGUUGGGUGAGAGCUUGGUGAACCAACUAAGGGCUGCACCCUUCAAGGAUGUGGGGAACACUCGGCACAAGACGGCGUCGUCCGAGGUGUAGAGACUCAUAUGGGUGGUGUAGGCGUCCAUAUGCUCGUC